rnacentral:misc_RNA from 1 species
UGGACAGCUGCUGGCUGCAGAGAG